GAGGGGGAGAAUAUAAAUAUAGAUUAGGUACCUUGGAAAAUCCAGAGCUUCUCUGGGUCUCUAAUUACAUAAGAUCAUAAGAUGAAAAGGGUUAUUUUGGAAGACUCUGCAAUCCUGGUUACCGAUUAGGGCAGCACAUUCAAAUUCUGAGCAGCCCAUUUGAAAUUCCCAGUUUAGACACAGCAAAGAGAUCGCGGCUUCAUCUGAGACCCUCCAAGCGAAAAGGACAGGUUACUGUUAAAUAAGGAGAAUGAAAGAAAACAGGAAAGAACAGGGCCUCGGCUUUGCUACCUUGUGAAAACGCCGCUGAAUUGCCUGGAAACACUGGCCGAGGCGCCGAGGGGAUCCGGCCGGACCCCGGUCGCCUGAGUGUCGGCGUCGCGAGUCUGGGGUAGACAAAACACGUGCCUCUUGGAUCUGCACAAACACGUAUGUGUCAUCUCCACAAACAAGUUUCAGAAAGUGCGGGUGGUAGUAAACCACCUCCAGCGAGGACUACGUGACAAGUCGUCGAUUCCCUUUCUCCCCAGAAUGUAAUAACGCUUGAUGCAAUUGAUCACUUAAAUUAUUUUCUCUGGACGUGUAGAAGGGAGGAUAAUUGCAGAAAUGAAACACACCAAAUGAAAGAACCGCAUUUAAAUGAAGUGCAGAUCACAAAGAUGAGACUAAUUAACAACAUAUGCCCUUGAUUAUUCAGACGUGGAGGAACAGAUUCCCUCUCUGAGAGCUGGUUGACCGAGAUGCAGGCUUUCCACCCUCCCCCUCCCACAGGAAGAGAAAAAAGAAACAGUUGAUUAAUUUGAACUGUCAGUCCCAGUAAAAUUAUAUUAGUUUGACUUUUUUUUUGAAGCAAAAUGUACUCCAAAUUUUCCUCAAGUUGUGUAACCAGUUAUGGAAAUUAACAAGAUGAAAAUUAAAUGCAGUCUAACAUCUGAUGCUACAAAUGAUUAUAAAGGAAGUACAUAAAAUCAAGGGACAGAUAAACUGUGAUGGACAGGAAGUAUUUUAGGAAAAUCUACCCUUAAAGCAGUUUUUUAAAGUUCAUUUUUAAAGUAAAUUUUCAUUCUCAUUUUAUCAUUAUUUUAAAUAUACAAACGUAGUAAAAUAUGAAUGUAAUUCAUCAAAACUAUACGACAUAUGAAGCAUAAUUUUUCAAAAGAAAAUUUUGCACCCUAGGAUGGUUACUGUAACCCCUAAUCUGGGUCUUUCAAUCUGUUCACAGAACUAGGAUAAAUGCCCCCACACACCCAGAUUCACAGUGUAGGAAUCUUAGAAAACAUUAGCUUGUGAAACAUUUAGGAAACAAUUUGAAGUCCUUUGGAGGAGGGAGUUUGAAAUGCAAAUCAAAACCUCCAUACUCCUCAAUGAUCUGGAGCAAUAGUCCUUAGCUAAGAAACUGACACCUACCUGCUCUCACUCACCCAGGCUCCUACCUAUUUUGAGCCCUGUUGACACCACACAUAAGUGGUAAUAAUAAAAUAUCUGCCAUAA